rnacentral:tRNA from 1 species
GCAGUGGUGGUUCGAUGGGAGAAUUCUCGCCUCUCAUGGGGGAGACCUGGGUUGGAUUCCCAGCCCAUGUA